GAUUAACGCUGGCGGCGUGCAUAACACAUGCAAGUCGAACGAUGAAACUUUUUUGAUUUCUUCGGAAUGAUUAAAAGUGGAUUAGUGGCGGACGGGUGAGUAACGCGUGAGUAACCUGCCUUAGAGAAGGGGAUAGCCUUUGGAAACGAAGAAUAAUACCCUAUGAAACCAUAACCUCGCAUGAGGAAUUGGUCAAAGAUUUAUCGCUCUAAGAUGGACUUGCGUCUGAUUAGUUAGUUGGUGGGGUAACGGCCCACCAAGACAGCGAUCAGUAGCCGGCUUGAGAGAGUGUACGGCCACAUUGGGACUGAGACACGGCCCAGACUCCUACGGGAGGCAGCAGUGGGGAAUUUUGCACAAUGGGGGAAACCCUGAUGCAGCGACGCCGCGUGAUUUAGAAGGCCUUCGGGUUGUAAAGCUCUUUUACCCGGGAUGAUAAUGACAGUACCGGGAGAAUAAGCUCCGGCUAACUCCGUG
rnacentral:rRNA from 1 species